GUGGGGAAUAUUGGGCAAUGGGCGAAAGCCUGACCCAGCGACGCCGCGUGGGCGAUGAAGGCCUUCGGGUUGUAAAGCCCUGUCAUGCGGAAAGAACGACCCUGUGACGCAUACUCACAGGGAGUGACGGUACCGCAGGAGGAAGCACCGGCUAACUCCGUGCCAGCAGCCGCGGUAAUACGGAGGGUGCAAGCGUUGUUCGGAAUUAUUGGGCGUAAAGGGCGCGUAGGCGGUAAUGCAAGUCAGAUGUGAAAUACUCCGGCUCAACUGGGGAACUGCAUCUGAAACUGCAUAACUAGAGUACAGAAGAGGGAAACGGAAUUCCCGGUGUAGAGGUGAAAUUCGUAGAUAUCGGGAGGAACACCAGUGGCGAAGGCGGUUUCCUGGUCUGAUACUGACGCUGAGGCGCGAAAGUGUGGGGAGCAAACAGGAUUAGAAACCCGGGUAGUCC
rnacentral:rRNA from 1 species